UGGAAGGUGGCUCAGUGGUAGAGUGCUUGCCUUGCAUGCAUGAGGCCCUGGUUUUGAUUUCUCAGUCUCACAU
rfam:Dipodomys ordii contig_29435, whole genome shotgun sequence.